rnacentral:rRNA from 1 species
GCCGACCUUGAAAUACCACCCUUUAAUGUUUGAUGUUCUAACGUGGACCCGUGAUCCGGGUUGCGGACAGUGUCUGGUGGGUAGUUUGACUGGGGCGGUCUCCUCCUAAAGAGUAACGGAGGAGCACGAAGGUUGGCUAAUCCUGGUCGGACAUCAGGAGGUUAGUGCAAUGGCAUAAGCCAGCUUGACUGCGAGCGUGACGGCGCGAGCAGGUGCGAAAGCAGGUCAUAGUGAUCCGGUGGUUCUGAAUGGAAGGGCCAUCGCUCAACGGAUAAAAGGUACUCCGGGGAUAACAGGCUGAUACCGCCCAAGAGUUCAUAUCGACGGCGGUGUUUGGCACCUCGAUGUCGGCUCAUCACAUCCUGGGGCUGAAGUAGGUCCCAAGGGUAUGGCUGUUCGCCAUUUAAAGUGGUACGCGAGCUGGGUUUAGAACGUCGUGAGACAGUUCGGUCCCUAUCUGCCGUGGGCGCUGGAGAACUGAGGGGGGCUGCUCCUAGUACGAGAGGACCGGAGUGGACGCAUCACUGGUGUUCGGGUUGUCAUGCCAAUGGCACUGCCCGGUAGCUAAAUGCGGAAGAGAUAAGUGCUGAAAGCAUCUAAGCACGAAACUUGCC